GCUAAAGGCAGGAGGAGGGCGACUGUGAAGGGUGUCAGAUGUCAGUACUCGUCUCGCGCUGCUGUAGGGAAGUGAGAAACACUUCCUACUUCCUCGCGCACUGUUUUUCAAACGCUGUUGGGCCGAAUGCGGAAAAUAAUGUAGUGUUGAUCAACUUUUUUUUUUUUUAGUAUCAAACUGCCCCACACAUUUGAGGAAGAGCAGCGGGGAAUGCUCGUGGAGCUGAGCAGCUGCGGUUUGAAGCUGGCCGAGCGGCUCGGAUGGCUGCGCGCGUGCGGAGAGGAGCUGAGUGACGAGGCGACUUCACACACCGGGCCUCGCUGAAACUUCUGAAAGUUUACAUCGGCGAAGAAACGACAAAGAAAAGGCGUCGAGAUGAAGAAGCAGUUUAAUCGCAUGAAGCAGCUCGCCAACCAAACGGUCGGAAGAGCGGAGAAAACAGAAGUCCUUAGUGAUGACCUUCUACAGAUUGAGCGCCGCAUGGAGAUUGUGCGGUUGGUCUCACAUAAUGCCCACAAGAAGUUAGUGACAUGUCUGCAGGGUCAUGUUGGAACAGAUGUGGAAAAAAGACACAAAAAGCUGCCUCUGAUGGGUCUCUCUCAGGCCAUGGUGGAUGGAGGGGCUCAGUUAGGAGAAGAGUCCAUGAUUGGGAAGAUGAUGGAGGUGUGUGGAGAAGCUGAAAGUAAGCUCGCCUAUGAGCAGAGCCAGCAUGAAGUCCAGCUUGAAAGGGAUUUCCUGGACCCACUUAAUCAGCUAGCAGAGGUUGAUAUUCCUAACAUCAUUAAGCAGAGAAAGCAGUUAGCUAAGCUUGUACUGGACUAUGAUUCUGCUAAAACGAGAUAUAUGCAGGCCAAUAAAGCAAUUCUCUCAGCCACAAACAACCAGGCAAUGGCUGCCAAAGCAGACUCCUGUAAAGAGGAGAUGGAUGAAGCCCACAACAAAGUAGAGAUAUGUAAGGACCAACUGGCUGCUGAUAUGUACAACUUCUCCUCCAAGGAGGGAGACUAUGCACGUUAUUACGUCAUGUUGUUAGAGGCCCAAGCUGAAUACCACAGACGAUCUCUGGCUUGCAUUGAAGGCGUCCUGCCUGCUAUAAGAUCACAGCAGGAGACGUGGAUGGAAAAGCCAGCAUUCGGCACAGCACUUGAGGAGCACCUUAAGCGCAGUAACAGAGAGAUUGCUCUGCCUAUAGAGGCCUGUGUGAUGAUGCUGUUGGAAACAGGGAUGAAAGAGGAGGGAUUGUUUCGUAUUGCCGCAGGAGCCUCUAAACUGAAGAAGCUCAAAGCAGCGUUGGAUUGUUCAACUUCUCAGCUGGAGGAGUUUUACUCUGACCCCCAUGCUGUAGCUGGAGCCCUGAAGUCGUACCUGAGGGAGUUGCCUGAACCACUGAUGACCUUCCAGCUGUAUGAUGAGUGGAUUCAAGACUCAAAUGUUGCUGAUCCAGAUAAGAGACUGCAGGCAUUGUGGGUCACGUGUGACAAUUUGCCAAAGGCCAAUAAGGCUAACCUGAGAUACCUGGUGAAGUUCCUUGCCAAGCUAGCUCAGGACAGUGAGGUCAAUAAGAUGACCCCAAGCAACAUUGCCAUUGUACUGGGACCAAACUUACUGUGGGCCAAAACUGAGGGGACUCUUGCUGAAAUGGCAGCUGCUACCUCAGUCCAUGUGGUGGCGAUUAUUGAGCCCAUCAUCCAGCAUGCAGACUGGUUUUUCCCAGACGAUGUGGAUUUCAAUGUUUCGGGCAUGUUUGCGAUGCCCACUGGCCCCAUGCACCAGCCUGGAUACCCUGCUACCCCUGAGCCUGAAUAUUCUACUAUAGAGCGGAGACGCCCGGGCAGCCAGGGGGGAUUGGAGACCGAGACUCCCCGCAAAGACAGCCUCACUAGCAAACAUCCGGAGCAUGCACCUCGUAGAACUGGCACUCUAAAUAGAAAGCAGCAGCAGCAGCACACCUCUCCAGCCUUCCAGCCCCCUCUUCCUCCAGUGGAGGCAGGGGGGGUCCCAGUGUCCGAGCCCUCAUCUCAGUCAGCUGUAGGGGGCUCGGAGGCUGGAGCUAUAACGGCUCAGAUCCAGCAGCCUAUAAACCAGCAGCAAUCUGCUGAAGAGAGCAGUGUUGUGCGAGAGCCAACCUCCACACCUCCACCCCUGAGAAAUGGCCCUGGAGGCCCCAGUGGAACACCUGGGCAGCUGACCGUGGGGACGCCAACAUCUGCUUCCAAGGGCCCAAGUCCACACAUGGUGCGCAGAGGUACUAAGAAACAGGCCCCUGCACCACCUAAAGUGGCUCCCAGCGCCUCUUCCUCAGCAACUGCACCCCUGAAAGCCGCACCUCCCUCCUCUAUACAGGUCCAAUACCAAAACCCUGCAGCAAGCCAUGUCCACCCUGUAACCCUACCUCGCCGCCACUCCGGUAACCAAAUGCCCAUCCAUGCCCCAAGUCACCCUCCUCCCCAGCCUCCACAGAACGCGGCAGACCCAGAAGCGUCCCCUCCCCACAGCCCCACUCCUCCUGACACCCCUCCACACGACUCCACCCACUCUGCUUCUUUGUCCCGCCCUCGGCCAGUUCCCAGACCACGGCCCAGACCCAGUGUACCACCGCCGCCCCAGCCUCCCACCGAGAGCACUAAUGGAGUGUGUAACUCUGCUUCCAAGAUCAUUACAGGUUGAGGAUCUUAUCCUGGCCAAGAUGUGUGACUCCCCUGCCUGUGAACUAAGAGUUGAAUGGCAGGCUAUGAUGUGGGCGUGACGUUGAAGGGGUCUGGGCGGCUCCUUGUCCCGCACAUAGCUGUGGAACAGCCUGUGACUGCGCCCCCUGAUGCUGAGAACCAAACAGAGAGCACCAUCUUUUAAGGAGUGGAUGAAACACCUCAUCCUCACGCAGCCAAUCACUCCCUUUAAUGCUGUUUUGAGGCAGAGUGAUGCUCUGUAGACAAUCCUGGCACUCUGGGCUCUUCUAGGCACCGAGGGAGCUUUUUAGACGCUGUUACUGUUUCAACAUUGCUGACAUAUUGAAGCUUGAGGUAAGCGAUUAAACAUGCUGUAUACUGUACCAAACUGUAACCUCUCUCUCUCUCGUGCCAGAAUGGUUCCAGUUGUUAGGCUUUAAUUUUACAAUAUUUUUAAUUUUUUUGUGCUUUUGAAUUGUAUUAUGAACUGCAAACAUGCGUAUUAUUACUUGUGAGUGUUUUGACUGUGUAAUUGUAAGGGAACCGCAAAACGUAAAGCGAGCUUUGUCUACGAAGUUCUCAUUCACAUUGAUCCUGUAUGUAUGCUGCCUUGUGUCUGUGUUAUCAUUCUGUUUUAUUCCCGUCAGCCAUCUUUAUUUUAAACUCUCAGCUACCGAGAGUGCAGGAUUUCAUUUCGAGUACCUGAGAGAAAAUGGAGUGAUUUUUCUAAAGAGACCAAAAACCUGUUAUAGGAAAUAUAUCAUAGAGAAAAGGUAUAGAAAUGCAGCGUAUGGCUAAAUAUCAAGUAUUGAUUUUUGAGUACUUUUAUUCUUGUGGUGCAAUAUUGAUUGCAGUUUAGAUCUUCUUUCUUCUUCUUAUUUUUUGUUCUUCUUACAAAUGAGACAAUCGCUAUAUCGAUAUUUUGAUGUAAAUGAGUGAAAUUUUGAUGUUGCACAAGGUUUGGUGAAAUGGACCAAAUAAUACAGCAAUAAAUUCGCACAUCUCACAUAUCAGUUAUUUAAAGAAGUGGAUAGCUACACUGUGUUUCAGUGCUCAUUUGGUCCAUCUGUAUGCAUUGUUUUUGCUCAAAUAAAUGAUCUGAAAUGUAAGUACAAACUGCCACAAAAUCGUUUUUUCUCAUAAAGAAUCUGUUGGAUAAUUUAGGGCAAAAUGCUACACGACAUUUGUCGUCUUUCGGUAAAGGACCCGAUGCUAAAUUCCCAGCUAGAUCAAAACUCAUUUGAUUUGAUUUAUAUUCCAUUUAUCAUAUCAUUUUGUAAUUAGUGUUAUUUUUAAGAAUGACAGUCAAACAGAAAUGUCAGGUGAAUAGUUGAAUAGUUUGGUUAUGCUCAGGAAAUAGCAACUCAGAAAGUCAUUCAUCCAUUUAAUUACUGACCGAUCUUUUUUCUUUUCUUCUUUUUUUUUUUGCAACAGGCUACUUCUAAAUGACUUAAAGGCUUGUAAAAUGUUGAUUUGUAUUUUAUGUUGAAUUAUUUUUUUUUCUUUUCUACUGUGUGCACCUUUUUCUGCAGCUCUUUCUCAGCUGGUUCUGCACAUUUCUCAAAGCAAAGAUACUCCAGUGUGUUGUACUGAUUACUGCUGUAUUUCCUACACAGCAAGUGGAAUGAAAUACAAUUACCUAAAAAAAAAAAAAGCCAGGCAAUGAGAAAAAUAAAAUGCAGUACAAAAUGUA